AUACGGAGGGUCCGAGCGUUAUCCGGAAUCAUUGGGUUUAAAGGGUCCGUAGGCGGGAAUCUAAGUCAGUGGUGAAAUCUUGCAUCUCAACUGUAAAAUUGCCAUUGAUACUGGAUUUCUUGAAUUAGUGUGAAGUGGUUAGAAUGUGUAGUGUAGCGGUGAAAUGCAUAGAUAUUACACAGAAUACCAAUUGCGAAGGCAGAUCACUAACACUAUCUUGACGCUGAGGGACGAAAGCGUGGGGAGCGAACAGGAUUAAAAACCCGAGUAGUCC
rnacentral:rRNA from 1 species